AACGCACAUUGCGCCCUCUGGCAUUCCGGAGGGCAUACCUGUCUGAGCGUCGAUAAAUCCUCAAACUUAAGUGUUUGGUUUUGGAGGAAGUGGUUAAGAAAUUGACUUCUCCUCUUAAAUGCAUUGGCGAUGCUACCUGUAGCUUGUAAGAUGUAGUAAGACAUCUCAUCGAAGCAAGCUGUAGGUGGUGUUGGCCAUCUGAAAUAGAUUUACCGUACCCAUAUUGACCUCAGAUCAGGUAAGGAUACCCGCUGAACUUAA
rnacentral:misc_RNA from 1 species